GAUGAAGAACGUAGCGAAAUGCGAUAAGUAAUGUGAAUUGCAGAAUCCAGUGAAUCAUCGAAUCUUUGAACGCACAUUGCGUCCGCCAGCAUUCUGGCGGGCAUGCCUGUUCGAGCGUCAUUUCAACCCUCGACCUCCCCUUGGGGAGGUCGGCGUUGGGGACCGGCAGCACACCGCCGGCCCUGAAAUGGAGUGGCGGCCCGUCUGCGGCGACCUCUGCGUAGUAAUACAGCUCGCACCGGAACCCCGACGCGGCCACGCCGUAAAACACCCAACUUCUGAACGUUGACCUCGAAUCAGGUAGGACUACCCGCUGAACUUAAGCAUAUCAAUAAGCGGAGGA
rnacentral:misc_RNA from 1 species